rnacentral:lncRNA from 1 species
AUUUCGUUUGUGGUCUUAGGACCUUAAAACACCUAAUAACAACUAAAACCCUAAAAAACAUUUGGUGGACUGUUGGGAUUUAAUCUGAACUUUUUGACUUAGAAUUAGGCAACUUUUCUUGUGCUAAAGGACUUGGCCAAUGGCAACAUUUGAGACUGAGCUAUCCUUGAGAGUGACUUUCAUCUGAUGCAAGACUUUGGAUCUCUUUGGUUCAUCUGCUAUUUUAUCUUUGUGCUUAAUUUUUACUUUGUUA